AGGGUUCGAUUCUGGCUCAGGAUGAACGCUGGCGGCGUGCUUAACACAUGCAAGUCGAACGGGAUCCAUCAGGCUUUGCUUGGUGGUGAGAGUGGCGAACGGGUGAGUAAUGCGUGACCGACCUGCCCCAUACACCGGAAUAGCUCCUGGAAACGGGUGGUAAUGCCGGAUGCUCCGACUCCUCGCAUGGGGUGUCGGGAAAGAUUUCAUCGGUAUGGGAUGGGGUCGCGUCCUAUCAGGUAGUCGGCGGGGUAACGGCCCACCGAGCCUACGACGGGUAGCCGGCCUGAGAGGGCGACCGGCCACAUUGGGACUGAGAUACGGCCCAGACUCCUACGGGAGGCAGCAGUGGGGAAUAUUGCACAAUGGGCGCAAGCCUGAUGCAGCGACGCCGCGUGCGGGAUGACGGCCUUCGGGUUGUAAACCGCUUUUGAUCGGGAGCAAGCCUUCGGGUGAGUGUACCUUUCGAAUAAGCACCGGCUAACUACGUGCCAGCAGCCGCGGUAAUACGUAGGGUGCAAGCGUUAUCCGGAAUUAUUGGGCGUAAAGGGCUCGUAGGCGGUUCGUCGCGUCCGGUGUGAAAGUCCAUCGCUUAACGGUGGAUCUGCGCCGGGUACGGGCGGGCUGGAGUGCGGUAGGGGAGACUGGAAUUCCCGGUGUAACGGUGGAAUGUGUAGAUAUCGGGAAGAACACCAAUGGCGAAGGCAGGUCUCUGGGCCGUUACUGACGCUGAGGAGCGAAAGCGUGGGGAGCGAACAGGAUUAGAUACCCUGGUAGUCCACGCCGUAAACGGUGGAUGCUGGAUGUGGGGCCCGUUCCACGGGUUCCGUGUCGGAGCUAACGCGUUAAGCAUCCCGCCUGGGGAGUACGGCCGCAAGGCUAAAACUCAAAGAAAUUGACGGGGGCCCGCACAAGCGGCGGAGCAUGCGGAUUAAUUCGAUGCAACGCGAAGAACCUUACCUGGGCUUGACAUGUUCCCGACAGCCGUAGAGAUAUGGCCUCCCUUCGGGGCGGGUUCACAGGUGGUGCAUGGUCGUCGUCAGCUCGUGUCGUGAGAUGUUGGGUUAAGUCCCGCAACGAGCGCAACCCUCGCCCUGUGUUGCCAGCGCGUCAUGGUGGGAACUCACGGGGGACCGCCGGGGUCAACUCGGAGGAAGGUGGGGAUGACGUCAGAUCAUCAUGCCCCUUACGUCCAGGGCUUCACGCAUGCUACAAUGGCCGGUACAACGGGAUGCGACACGGCGACGUGGAGCGGAUCCCUGAAAACCGGUCUCAGUUCGGAUUGGAGUCUGCAACCCGACUCCAUGAAGGCGGAGUCGCUAGUAAUCGCGGAUCAGCAACGCCGCGGUGAAUGCGUUCCCGGGCCUUGUACACACCGCCCGUCAAGUCAUGAAAGUGGGUAGCACCCGAAGCCGGUGGCCUAACCCUUUGUGGAUGGAGCCGUCUAAGGUGAGACUCGUGAUUGGGACUAAGUCGUAACAAGGUAGCCGUACCGGAAGGUGCGGCUG
rnacentral:rRNA from 1 species